AAAAAAAAAAUUUCCUUCCAGCAGCACCUUAAAGACCAACUAAGUUAGUUCUUGGUAUGAGCUUUCGUGUGCAUGCACACUUCUUCAGAUACACAGUUGAUGGACUUCCAUUUCAUGCGGCUCAAUGUGGUGCCUUCCAUAGUUCCAGUAACAGAAAGGUAGCCGUGUUGGUCUGCUAUAGUCAAAACAAAAA